CCGCUACACUGCCGCUGUAUGAGCCGGGCCACUGCACUGUUCACUGUGAAGUCGUUAUGGCCAUGUCCAGCAUUCGUUUUGAUUGACGACCCAGCCGGAGGAGCCAGUUAGCCUCAGCUGCACCUCUGCCAACACGUAAUCAAUUACCACUUUAUCAGGGCCAAAUAAGCCAAGCUGAUUAGAAAUAUUGUGUGACAUUUUUUCCCCCAGUGCCCGGCUUGGAUAUGUGUCCACAUUUUCGGGUCAUGCCUACCCUAGAUGGCCUGUUCUUUGUCAUCAUCAUCUGCCGUACUCUCUGCUUAAUUAGCGGUCUUGAGCUUUGACUUGUGAUUUUCUCACGAGCUUGCAAAUUGCGUAUACGAGCCUAAAAAUAAACGCAUACUCAGCCCGAAACUGGUUGGCCGAAUAAACUGAUUUAUCUGCCCUCUGUU